AUGGCCUGUAACCAGAACCAAACGAGGAUUUAAAACAGGAUCUUCCAUGACAAUGCUGACGGACCACACAGAGACAAGCAUAGCCUCUUUUACUCACUUUAUUUACAGAGUGAAGAUCCAUGUGUUGAGGAGAACUGCGACAACAGAUAACUUAAGUGUUUACACGUUGGAAGUGGAUAAGUUGAGAUCUCAUAGGCCUUUUUACUGAUAAAGCUGCGACACUCCACAGACUGUUAUGGAGUCGCCCAAAGGGACAACGAGUAAUCGUUUUCUCUAGGCCUUGCUUUGGACUCGAGUGUGCCUGUAGCAGCAUGAAGCUGUUUGCAGGUAGCUUGAAAUAAACACCAUGCAGCAACCAACGUCCCAAAAAAACAAACACAAUAUGAAACAUUGAGAAGCAGUACUAAUGUAAAUUCCCACAAAAAAGUUGUCAAGUGCCGUGUGGACGAUACCAGACAAUCCCCACCUUCAAAUCGGACAUCAGGUCUUCCUCAUCCGUCUGAUGGAGGUUUAAUUAAAUGACCUUAUUUAUCUUACUACGAAGCCUAGCUGCAUCAGUCCGUUGUUUUAAAUUGCACAAUAUGUUUAAAAGCCUUUAGAAGAGUGAGUUAUGAUCACACUGAAGACUAACCCUCUGUUAAACUAUUCAGUAAGAAAUAACCUUCUGUAGUGGAUUCAGAGAUCCCAUCGGUGGUAGUGAGGGCAACAGAGUGAUUUAGGGUGCGGAGGUGAUCAGGGUGUUCUCUACACAUGGAAAUGGCUGGGAUCCCAUUCAAUGCAGACUGCCAUUUAAUUCGCUUCUGCUAUUUUAUGAUUAAAUCACAUUAUUUAUAUUGCGGAGUUCCAUGAUUAUAUGAAAUAAAUACUUUAAAAAUAAAAACUGGUAUUUCUAUCUUAAUCAGCAAUGAAUUCUAAUUAUAGUUUUUCAUGUUGGUAAAGCUUUUUGAUGAUAAUUGAAAGUAAUAAUGCCAACUUUGAACCAUACAUUUACAAAUUAGCAUAUUUGUUCUGAAAUCCCCCCAUAAGCUUAUUUUUGGGAACAGCACAAAAGGGUUCCUCAAUAUAUAAAAUCACCACAGUGAGAAUACAAUCAAUCCACAAGAAUCCAUUUUGGGUACGAUAAAUACGAAUCUGAAAUAUCUUUAAUUUUGUGUAUUGGAGCCAUCAUACUUUUCUGAAACAAGUAGUUUUCCAUCUAUGAUUGCAUGAAUACAUCAUCAUCAUCAUUAUAAGCGGUACCCUUUGCUAACAGCAUUUCUUUAAAGAUAUUAAAUAAUAAAAACCUGCUGAAAUGAAAAUGUUGCUAGUAAAACAUAGGCUCCUAUAUCCAUCACCAUUCUUCCGUUGAAGACAUCUCUAAACAUUGAAUGAUAUCGAUAAGGGUUAUAGUACGCAGUUCAGUUACAGAGUAGAGAGGAGACGACAGAGCAAAGGAAAACAUAAAAAAAAAAGGAAAGUAAAAACAGGAACACAAACUUUUACACCCGGCUGUUUCUCGCUCUAAAAAAAGAACAGAAAAAGAAAGAAGUCCAACACUCGGUAAUGCAGACAGACAACAUGGCGGUCCACCAUCACAGCGGGUCAGACCACCGAAGACACGAUCUGAAACCACAUCCCGCCUCGCCCACACGUCAAUUUGCGUCGUCCCGUUUAACGAUUUAAAAAUGUGUUGGAACAAACAUGCUAUAUUAGUCUUUCACAAACCCCGCCCCCCUCACCAGCUGCCCAAUCAGGUUUCAGGGAAAACAGGAAUUUGCCCCAAUGACAGCGAGUGUUUAUUGCCCUGGGGGGCACUGGGGGACUGAGGGGGCGACCCCAGGCAGCUCCACAGCUACGGUGGCUAACGACAGCCAACACACAUCCUCACCGUAAUCAUUUGAUCGUUUAAAAUUUGGUUUAUCAUCAGUAUUGUAACCACAAUCCUUCCUGUCGAGAUGGGACAGUUGAAGCAUGAGAAGACGAAUGUUGGUACACUUGGCAGACCGUGGGUCUGCUGAAUAGUCUGACUGUUUUGGGCCGUUCAUUAAAUACAUUCGCUUGUUAGGAGAGUUCAAACCCUCUCAGCCCACAGUCCGUGCCAAUCCCAGCUCCUGUUUAAUCUACGACCGGAACCUGCGUCAUAGUUGGGGAACUCGCCCAGUCCUGCACCCAAAGGCUCUGCGUGGAUCAGGGUGGGGGCAUUCGGGACGUAUUUGGCAUUGAGGAUUGACAUGCACCCUCUAAACACACAGACAUUUUGGCAAAAUACUAAAUUCCCUUGACUAACGUUAACAUAGUGCAGUGAAAAGACUGAGGAGUUCUGCGCGCGCGUGUGCGUGUGUUUUCCGCGAACGCACACAAAACGCACACCGCGCGACGAUGCUAGCAGGCGCCGUUCCACCGAGACUCGCGGCGUUCUGCGGUAGAGCUCAAAUAAAUACUGGGACACGCAUGCAUGAAAACUAGCCCUCUUCAAGAGGGUAUUCAGGGGGGGGCGUGUCCCUUCCUUCUCCAGACCUAUCGCCGUAUGGAGAAGGAAGAGGGCGGUCCUUAAGUUGUGCUAAAAUAUAACAAGUCUCUCGUUUCCCUUGACUGAACACACACACGCACACAGACACACACACACACACACACACAGACAGACACACGACCGGGUUGACGACAGUGCCAUGGAGAUGUUAGUUGUGUGUUGGUGUUGAAUGAGGGAUGUGACGCGGUGUGUUGUCUGAACACGUGGUGAGGAAGAGGAGGAGGAGGAGGAGGAGCCGGCUGCUGUCCCAUGCAUUGAUAUAACAGUAUCAGAAGCAGAAGAUACGAGGACGUGCUUCCAGAAUGGGGGGGAAUAAAGGGUUUACCCAGAGAACCGCCAGCACAUAAUCUCGUCAAAUAAGUCUUUGAAAUAGAUGUUGGAUUGCAGUUUUUUUUGUCCUUUUUUUUUUUGUAUGUGUGUGUCCAUUAAAUUGUAAAUGCAAGAUAAGACCUUUGACAGAAUAGGAGUACAUCAUGUUGUAGAUCACAUUCAGGCGCCUCUUCUCCACAGCUUCUAUACUUCAUUGUUUUUGCCGGCGUAAAGUCUGGUCCAGGCUCGGGCUGAGGGAGAGAGACAGAGACAGAGACAGAGAGAGGGAGAGGGAGAGAGACACAGAGAGAGACAGAGACAGAGACAGAGAGAGAGAGAGAGAGAGAGACAGAGAGAGGGAGACAGACAGACAGACAGACAGAGAGACAGAGAGAGCGAGUGGUGUUUUG
ensembl:lncRNA